rnacentral:lncRNA from 1 species
UUCCUUGACUUUGACAAUUUUUCAGCGUCACAAGCAAGAAACCACCACCUGUGGGCCCCAGUGAGAGACUGAACUUACAAAGAGACGAUGACCACAGCAUAUGGAAAGGAAGAAGGAGCCACCCUCUGCAGGAGCCCUGAAGCCCGAAGAGCAGGAGGCCAGGCACUCGCCUUAGGACGGGGCCAGGAGGCCAGGCGCUUGCCUUAGGAUGGGGCCAGGAGGCCAGGCACUUGCCUUAGGACGGGGCCAGGAGGCCACACAGUGAUCCCUGUAGCAGUGGCCCCAUGCGGCCAAGACUUAAGAUAGCAGACACCUUCCCCGAUUUGUGUCUCUACUUAAAAUGUAAGAUCAGCUGGAGAAAGCCCAGUGUGCGCCCCCACCAAGCCCACAGGACUCCUGCUCCUGCAGAGCCGCCCCCGCCCCGUCAGGCCCACCGUGCUGGUGCUCAGGGGGCUGCAUCCUGCUGGGAGCACGAUUCCGGGUGUUUCUCCAGGCGCUGAGUCCGUGCCUCCUUUUUCGGUCACACAUCUUAUCAUUUGAGUUUAGCAUCUACUUAUAAACAUCAUUUUCAAAUCUGAAUCCUGCUUCCUCACUACAAUAAAAAGGAGAGACAAAAGGAAGUUGCGCCUACAACCUUCCAGAAGCCCUGAGGAGCCGCCCCAUGCCUGACGCCACAUCCCACAAGCUCCCGAAGUCGCGGAUGGCUCAGUGACAUUCCAGAUGCUGUCCCAUCGCUCAGAGUCCCGAGACACAGACAUGAACACCAAGUCCAUCCUUUGAGGAAGGCAGACUUGGCGGGAAUGUGGUUUUCUUCAAAGGUGAGGGGGUAGGGGGAGCUGCCAGGGCCCAGCCGGCAGGGGCAGGAGGGGCGGGGCUUCGGCCCAGGGCCCUGCACGGGGGUGACCAUCAGUGCCCCCCAUCACCGUGACAGUCCUAUCCCCAGUCUGCAAAAUGCCCCCUGGAUGGAGCAUCCCAUGAGAGCCGGGCCAUGGAGAGGCUGGAAUGUGCCAGACUCUGAGGCACCCAGGGGGUCAGCCUUUCCCUCUGGUUGGUCCCCCUGUGCCACACCGCAGCCUGCGCCUGGCCAGCUUCCCGUCCCUGCGAGCACAGCCUGCGCCUGGCCAGCUUCCCGUCCCUGCUGCGACCCCAUUACUAGGUCAUCGUCUCAUGCCAGAGAACUCGCAGGAAUCGCAUGCAAUGUUUAACGAGAGGCAGAAUGUGGGCACCAGGUGUGAAGCAGUCCCCGGCUGUGGACGGGAGACUCCAGGCUGCGCCAGGCAGGGCGCCUUCCCCUGGACCUUGAAGGGCACCCGAUGUCCUGGGGCCGUGAGGGGCGGGGUGCUUAUCCAUGUGACAGGACUCUUCCAGUAGCAACAGGGAGGGCCCAGCAAAACCCGCAGUUUGUUUCGGGCCACGUUCCAACAAGUGACUCGGCGGCGUCUCCCACCUGCACACUCAGUCAGGAGGCUGCAGUCUCCCGUCCAGCCCCACAGCCUGAGGGAUUCCUGUUGGUUACCCAGAACUGCCUGCCACAGGUGCCAGGGCAAGAGAUGUCACUCAAUUUUCCAGCCCCCAGUCCUGUAGACAUCCUGGGUGUGCGGCACACAUCGGCUCACUCACACUGACCCUCUGAGCCGGUGAGAACUCCACAAGAAGAGGGCCAGCGCCUCACAAGAUCAAGGCGGAACAACGCGUUUGUGGGAUGAUGAAGACCUCAUAACAGACGUGCCAGUGGGUUGAUUACUGUGAAAUUCUCAACUGUGGUUUCUGUAACUUAAAAAAAAAAAUUUCCACUUUGGGAGGCCGAGGCGGGCAGAUCACGAGGUCAGAAGAUCGAGACCAUCCUGGCUAACACAGUGAAACCCCGUCUCUACUAAAAAUACAAAAAAUUAGCCGGGCGUGGUGGCUGGUGCCUGUAGUCCCAGCUAUCUGGGAGGCUGAGGCAGGAGAAUGGCGUGAACCCAGGAGGAGGAGCUUGCAGUGAGCCGAGAUCGCACCACUGCACUCCAGCCUGGGCGACAGAGCGAGACUCUGUCUCAAAAAAAAAAAAAAAAAAAAAAAAAAGUCCAGACCAUGAUAUUCUUUUUAGGGAUGUUCUUUGCAGCAGUUCCCCUGCUAAAAUGAAUGAGAGCAAAGCAAAUUGCAGUUAGCAGUGUGCAUUCCCGACCUGUGGGCCCUGAUGGACACCAGUGCCUCUGCCACCUGGGCCAGUCGCGUUAAGUGCUGGGAUGGUGGGCCAGUGUCCAAGCAGAGCUUGUGAAGAAUCUGCACACGCCCCUUUUUGCAUGUGCUCACCCAAAGUGAAAUCAUCUCUGGGCCUUCCCUAAGAUCUCCUUGAGUCAGGAACCUGCAAGGGCACAGGCCGCCUGGCAGGCCAUUUUCAUACAUGGUCUCCCACUGUUCUGAGCAGGUGGCAGCUGCGAAUCUAUUCUUUAACAAUUUAAUAGAUGCCUCCUCGGAAAAAGCUAUUGACCUGAGACCAGUGGAGACUGGAGGACGAGAUGGGGUCAGAAGAAAGGACUGCAUACGGCCAGAGGCACCGUGGGGUUUUGGCCAGCACAGAGCCGGGGCGUUGAUUCUGAUGAGGUCUGGGCAGGAACCAAAGAGAGCUUCAUAGACAAGGCGGCAUCUGAGAUGAGCCUGGAAAACGCAGACAGGAGAGGAAUCGGCGGGGAGGGGGAGGGGUCCUCCGGGAGGAGCUCCGCUGCCAGCGUACCCAGGCGUGACGGCCGCUGCGUUCUCCACUGAUUAGAUCACGCUCAGACACACUACCUCCUCCCAGUACAAUUAAUCAAGAAAUAUUAAGCUAUAAUUUGAAUAAUCUGUGUGAAAAGGUCUUUCGAUGUGGAAUGAGAGACACCUUUGAGGAAAUACAUUACGAUACAGGCUAUUAACCUUUACCAAGCUAAUUAAAGCCAGCCAGGGUUAAAGCUGUCAAUGUAACUUUGCAUAAAUUUCCUCAAGAUUUCUACUUAAGGGGACUUGGGGAUUUCUUUUUCUCUUUUAAUUUUUAAUUUUGAAAAUGAGGCCCUGUAAACACUGCUUAUAUUUGGCCACUAAGUGGCCUCCUAAAUGGCUGAUUUCUUUUUAAAGUAUGAAGAUUGUUUGCUGUGGCAUUAUUAAUUACACACAGAUUUGUACCACUUUCCUCCACUAGAAUUAAGGAAAUUUGUAAAACCAACUCGUGGUCAGACUCCAGCAAAUGACCCAUCGUUUUCCACCAGUGUCUCUGUUUCUAUGUAAAAUUAUAGAUUAAACGCCAAGUCCUCUGCCUCCACCUGUCCAGGGUAAGUAACCACCUCCAGAAGUGAGAAGCUGGGAGUGGCUCUGAGAGGGGCUGACUCAAGUAUUCUCCUAAUAAAUAGGGGCGGGCGAAGCAUCAGGGCGAAUCCCACGUGAGGCAGAAAAGUGAGCUGAACUAUCCUGGAGUGUUUUGUUGCAUUCCAUAUCUCCCUCAAAACUCACUGACUCUGGAAGCAGUGGUUUUGAAGUCUUAAUUGAAACAAAGUUGAGAUUUUUAAGAAAAUUAACAAUUUCUAAUAUUUUCAAUUGUCUGGUGUUUCCAGCUUUUAUUGGCUCUUGUCGAAAUCAAAUUGGAAGAUCUUCAGUCCCAGCUGCACCCAACGUGGAAAAGUAUUCCAGGUCCAUCCCCAAGGAACCAACACCGAUGACAUGGACUCAGGAAUCUUAUAACCUACGUGGACUCUUUCCAUCCGUACAUUGUCGUGCACAUGCCACUCAUCACCUGGCGUGCCCAGAUCCUCGCAGGGCAACACCCUGUGAUAAUUCCAGGUGAUUCUCUACAUCUGCAGCUUGAGGUUAGCCUCAUAUCACAUUACAUUCUCACUAGAAACAAAACAAAAAUGAAAUACUUAAAACAUCUACCAGAACAGAAUUAGGACUGGAAAGCAGCGGUCUUAGCUGACAAACAAGUUGUGCCAUCUGAGACUCAUGGGAGUAAAUCUCCUCUUUCAUAGUAAAAUCUCAUUACAG